GUUAUAUGGUCAAGUGACUAAGCGUAUACGGUGGAUGCCUUGGCAGUUGGAGGCGAUGAAGGACGUUGUAGCCUGCGAAAAGCUUCGGGGAGUCGGCAAACAGACUUUGAUCCGGAGAUGUCCGAAUGGGGAAACCCACCUGGUGUCAGCCAGGUACCUUUUACUGAAUACAUAGGUAAAAGGGGCGAACGAGGGGAACUGAAACAUCUAAGUACCCUUAGGAACAGAAAUCAAUUGAGAUUCCCCCAGUAGCGGCGAGCGACCGGGGAUCAGCCUGCAAGUGAUAGCAGUGAUGUUAGUGGAACGGUCUGGAAAGUCCGGCGAUAGAGGGUGAUAGCCCCGUACACGAAAACAUCGUUGUGGUACUGAGCUUGCGAGAAGUAGGUCGGGACACGUGUUAUCUUGACUGAAGACGGGGGGACCAUCCUCCAAGGCUAAAUACUACCAACUGACCGAUAGUGAACCAGUACCGUGAGGGAAAGGCGAAAAGAACCCCGGAGAGGGGAGUGAAAUAGAACCUGAAACCGUGUACGUACAAGCAGUGGGAGCCCGAUCUUCAAGCCCUUUUGGGGGAGUGAGGAAGGCCCUCUGAAGUUUGGGAACAGGUUAGCGUCGCGUAGCGACGAUCAACCGCCCCAAAAGAAGCAGAGAGGGUUUGAAGAUCGGGUGACUGCGUACCUUUUGUAUAAUGGGUCAGCGACUUAAUGUUUGUAGCAAGCUUAACCGUAUAGGGGAGGCGUAGGGAAACCGAGUCUUAAUAGGGCGUUUAGUUGCAGGCAUUAGACCCGAAACCGGGCGAUCUAUCCAUGAGCAGGUUGAAGGUGCCGUAACAGGCACUGGAGGACCGAACCCACUUAUGUUGAAAAAUGAGGGGAUGACUUGUGGAUCGGAGUGAAAGGCUAAUCAAGCCCGGAGAUAGCUGGUUCUCCUCGAAAUCUAUUUAGGUAGAGCGUCGUGUCUUACCCUGGGGGGUAGAGCACUGUUUGGGCUAGGGGGUCAUCCCGACUUACCAACCCCAUGCAAACUCCGAAUACCCAGGAGUACAAUCACGGCAGACAGACGGCGGGUGCUAACGUCCGUCGUCGAGAGGGCAACAACCCAGACCGCCAGCUAAGGUCCCAAAUACCAGUUAAGUGGGAAACGAUGUGGGAAGGCUUAGACAGCUAGGAGGUUGGCUUAGAAGCAGCCAUCCUUUAAAGAAAGCGUAAUAGCUCACUAGUCGAGUCGGCCUGCGCGGAAGAUGUAACGGGGCUAAACUGGUAACCGAAGCUGCGGAUGCGUGUACUUCACUUAAGCUUAUUCUCAGGCGCUUGUCGUCGGCGUUAGCCGACGACCAGGCCCCCUCGAACGUUGAGGUGGCCGGGAUAAGAUGAGGAUGUGAUUUGCGUAGCAAAUCGCUUACUUAAAAUCAGGAGCCGUAAGGCGAGUGAGUUUAAGGAAGUGCACGCAUGGUAGAGGAGCGUUCUGUAAGCCGUUGAAGGUGAACCGGGAGGUUUGCUGGAGGUAUCAGAAGUGCGAAUGCUGACAUGAGUAACGAUAAGGGGGGUGAAAA
rnacentral:rRNA from 2 species